GCGGGAGUGGCGAAAUUGGCAGACGCACCAGACUUAGGAUCUGGCGCCGCAAGGCGUGGAGGUUCAAGUCCUCUCUUCCGCA
rnacentral:tRNA from 1 species